rnacentral:lncRNA from 1 species
AAUUCUCACAGCAAUGCUAGCAGGAAGCAACAUUACCUGGGUACCUAGGACAACUGAAACAGAGGUGGACAAACGAUUCUUUGUUCAGGAUAACAAGAGCCUGGAGAGUCUACAGUACCCUGGUAUCGCUCUAAUAGUCCUGUAGAUCUGUGAUAUCACCUGAGAGAGCUUCUGGGAGAGCCAUUUUAUAGUGAAAGAGCCAACCAGUCAUCUGUCUUCCAUAACGUGGUGAAGUUACCGAGCUUCCUCUAAACCUCAGUUUUCAGACCACAUGCCAAGUAUUUUUAUUCCUCAUGGAUUGCUGAGAAGGGGUGGUAAGGAGGUGCAUAUAAUCAAUGUGCAGUGUAUGCAUGUAUGGCAAUGUCACAUUUUGUAUAAUUAAUAUGAUUGAUUAUUCAUUUUGAAAAAGAGUCAAUACUUCAG